rnacentral:tRNA from 1 species
GCCCUGAUAGUGUAGCCUGGUUAGCAUAGAAGGCUGUGGACCUUCCGACCCGCGUUCAAAUCGCGGUCAGGGCC